GCCCGAUUCGUCUAGCGGUUAGGACAUUGGAUUUUGAUACAGCUUCAGUUGUCAGACCUUCCAAAAGCCGCGGUUCGAUUCCGCGAUUGGGCU